AUACGUAGGUGGCAAGCGUUGUCCGGAAUUAUUGGGCGUAAAGGGCGUGUAGGUGGAUUUUUAAGUCGUGUGUCUAAGUGCGGGGCUCAACCCCGUAUGGGCGCAGGAAACUGGAGAUCUUGAGUGCAGGAGAGGAAAGUGGAAUUCCCAGUGUAGCGGUGAACUGCGUAGAUAUUGGGAGGAACACCAGUGGCGAAGGCGACUUUCUGGACUGUGUCUGACACUGAGGCGCGAAAAUCAGGGGAGC
rnacentral:rRNA from 1 species